AACGCUGGCGGCGUGCUAAGCUUAUGCAGUCGAACGCGAAAUGCUCCUUCGGGAGCCGAGUAGAGUGGCAGACGGGUGAGUAACGCGUGGGUAACGUGCCCCAAUCCUGGGAAUAACCCUCGGAAACGAGGGCUAAUACCGAAUGUGGCCCCCGAUCGGAUGAUCGGUGGCUAAAGGUGGCCUCUUCUAUGCUGCCGGGUUGGGAUCGGCCCGCGUCCCAUUAGCUAGUUGGUGAGGUAACGGCCCACCAAUGCAACGAUGGGUAGCCGGCCUGAGAGGGUGUCCGGCCACACUGGCACUGAGACAAGGGCCAGUCCCCUAUGGGAGGCGCAGGCGGGAAUAGUUCCCAAUGGACGAAAGUCUGAGGACGCGACGCCGCGUGAGCGAAGAAGGCCUUCGGGUUGUAAAGCUCUGUCAGGAGGGAAGAAGGCGCUGGGUGUUAAUAGCACCAAGCGUUGACGGUACUUCCAGAGGAAGCCCCGGCUAAAUACGUGCCAGCAGCCGCGGUAAUACGUAUGGGGCAAGCGUUGUCCGGAUUAACUGGGCGUAAAGGGCACGCAGGCGGUUCGUUUAGUCGAAGGUGAAAUCCCUGGGCUCAACUCAGGAACUGCCUUCGAUACUGGCGAACUAGAGUGGCGUAGAGGAAAGCGGAACUCCUGGUGUAACGGUGGAAUGUGUAGAUAUCAGGAGGAACACCGGUGGCGAAAGCGGCUUUCUGGACGCACACUGACGCUCAGGUGCGAAAGCGUGGGUAGCAAACAGGAUUAGAUACCCUGGUAGUCCACGCCGGAAACGAUGGGUACUACGUGUCGGGGGUAUCGAUCCCCUCGGUGCCGAAGUCAACGCAUUAAGUACCCAGGCUGGGGAGUA
rnacentral:rRNA from 1 species